AUUGAACGCUGGCGGCAGGCCUAACACAUGCAAGUCGCACGAGUGGCGGACGGGUGAGUAAUGUCUGGGAAACUGCCCGAUGGAGGGGGAUAACUACUGGAAACGGUAGCUAAUACCGCAUACCAUCGGAUGUGCCCAGAUGGGAUUAGCUAGUAGGUGGGGUAACGGCUCACCAAGGCGACGAUCCCUAGCUGGUCUGAGAGGAUGACCAGCCACACGGGAACGGAGAAACGGUCCAGACUCCUACGGGAGGCAGCAGUGGGGAAGAUGGCACAAUGGGCGCAAGCCUGAUGCAGCCAGGCCGCGUGUAUGAAGAAGGCCGUCGGGUUGUAAAGUACUGUCAUCGAGGAGGCGUUACUCGCAGAAGAAGCACCGGCUAACGCCGUGCCAGCAGCCGCGGGAAUUC
rnacentral:rRNA from 1 species